GACUCCUACGGGAGGCAGCAGUGGGGAAUAUUGCACAAUGGGCGCAAGCCUGAUGCAGCCAUGCCGCGUGUAUGAAGAAGGCCUUAGGGUUGUAAAGUACUUUCAGCGGGGAGGAAGGUGAUAAGGUUAAUACCCUUGUCAAUUGACGUUACCCGCAGAAGAAGCACCGGCUAACUCCGUGCCAGCAGCCGCGGUAAUA
rnacentral:rRNA from 1 species